UACAGAGGGGGCAAGCGUUAUUCGGAAUUAUUGGGCGUAAAGGGCGCGUAGGCGGCCGGACAAGUGGAAGGUGAAAUCCCCGAGCUCAACUCGGGAACUGCCCUCCAAACUGUUUGGCUUGAGUCCGGGAGAGGUGAGUGGAAUUCCCAGUGUAGCGGUGAAAUGCGUAGAUAUUGGGAGGAACACCAGUGGCGAAGGCGGCUCACUGGACCGGAACUGACGCUGAGGCGCGAAAGCUAGGGGAGCAAACGGG
rnacentral:rRNA from 1 species